rnacentral:rRNA from 1 species
UGGGGAAUUUUGGACAAUGGGCGAAAGCCUGAUCCAGCAAUGCCGCGUGUGUGAAGAAGGCCUUCGGGUUGUAAAGCACUUUUGUCCGGAAAGAAAUCCUUGGCUCUAAUACAGUCGGGGGAUGACGGUACCGGAAGAAUAAGCACCGGCUAACUACGUGCCAGCAGCCGCGGUAAUACGUAGGGUGCAAGCGUUAAUCGGGAUUACUGGGCGUAAAGCGUGCGCAGGCGGUUUGCUAAGACCGAUGUGAAAUCCCCGGGCUCAACCUGGGAACUGCAUUGGUGACUGGCAGGCUAGAGUAUGGCAGAGGGGGGUAGAAUUCCACGUGUAGCAGUGAAAUGCGUAGAGAUGUGGAGGAAUACCGAUGGCGAAGGCAGCCCCCUGGGCCAAUACUGACGCUCAUGCACGAAAGCGUGGGGAGCAAACAGGAUUAGAUACCCUGGUAGUCCACGCCCUAAACGAUGUCAACUAGUUGUUGGGGAUUCAUUUCCUUAGUAACGUAGCUAACGCGUGAAGUUGACCGCCUGGGGAGUACGGUCG